rnacentral:rRNA from 1 species
UGGGGAAUUUUGGACAAUGGGGGCAACCCUGAUCCAGCAAUGCCGCGUGUGUGAAGAAGGCCUUCGGGUUGUAAAGCACUUUUGUCCGGGAAGAAAUCGCACCUGAUAAUACCGGGUGUGGAUGACGGUACCGGAAGAAUAAGGACCGGCUAACUACGUGCCAGCAGCCGCGGUAAUACGUAGGGUCCAAGCGUUAAUCGGAAUUACUGGGCGUAAAGCGUGCGCAGGCGGUUGUGCAAGACCGAUGUGAAAUCCCCGGGCUUAACCUGGGAAUUGCAUUGGUGACUGCACGGCUAGAGUGUGUCAGAGGGGGGUAGAAUUCCACGUGUAGCAGUGAAAUGCGUAGAGAUGUGGAGGAAUACCGCUGGCGAAGGCAGCCCCCUGGGAUAACACUGACGCUCAUGCACGAAAGCGUGGGGAGCAAACAGG